rnacentral:misc_RNA from 1 species
GCAAACUUGGUCAUUUAGAGGAAGUAAAAGUCGUAACAAGGUUUCCGUAGGUGAACCUGCGGAAGGAUCAUUACCGAGUGCGGGUCCCUCGCGGGCCCAACCUCCCACCCGUGUUUACCAAUACCGUGUUGCUUCGGCGGGCCCACCGGGGCCGCAUCGGCCCCGGUCGCUGGGAGGCUCUCCGUCCGCGGAGCGCCCCCGGGCCCGUGCCCGCCGGAGACCCCUGGAACCUCCCUGUGAAUCGAGCGAGUCUGAGUGAUGAUCUUCAGUGAAGAAUCGUUAAAACUUUCAACAACGGAUCUCUUGGUUCCAGCAUCGAUGAAGAACGCAGC